AAGUCGUAACAAGGUUUCCGUAGGUGAACCUGCGGAAGGAUCAUUAACACGUAUCCAAACGUUAAAACCCCCCCCGUGAACCUUCAUCCUGCUCUUGUAACCCGCGUAGUUCGCAAUCUCUGAUAAAUCAUAGCCCGGAAAGUUGUAGUGAUUCAGAGACCUCUGGCUACGUGCGAACAUUGGAACAGUUACAAUCGAGCGGUAGUUCUAUAGGCAAUGUUUCCCCAAGCAGUCAGUGUCGGAAAGUGUCAUUGAUUGUGCAAGGAUAGCUCUUCCACGAUUCCUGUAGACCGUACACUCGGACAGGAGCUUUGCCAAAGGGUCCCCAUGCCCCUAAUAUUGGUUCUC
rnacentral:misc_RNA from 1 species